CCGGCUGAACAAUGCGAGGGAACGAUCAAAAUAAAGGUUGGAAAUCAUGUCUCAAGUGCAGGCUACACUCUUUAGAGAGAGAGAGCAAAAGAGAUCAAGUUGAACCUACAUCACCCCGACUACAACAUCCCCGACAUUUCGAGUAAAAACACGCAAACUCGUGUGUAAAUGUGUCUAACACACUCGCCGAGGAGGGUGAUCGUUCCCCGGAUGUUGCUCCAUGCACGCCGGGGAAUGCAGAUGUCGAUAGCCGAAGAGGUGGCACUCGGAGCCGGGCAGGGGCAGGACCCUCGACCCUGGGAGACCCUCCGGCGAGCUGACGGAGACACGCGGGAAAAGCAGCACAGGCAGGCGGCGAGCCUCGCUCUGACUGGCGGAGAGGGGGAGUGAGUCUAGACCGCAG